rnacentral:rRNA from 1 species
AGUGAACGCUGGCGGUAGGCCUAACACAUGCAAGUCGAACGGCAGCACAGUAAGAGCUUGCUCUUACGGGUGGCGAGUGGCGGACGGGUGAGGAAUACAUCGGAAUCUACUUUUUCGUGGGGGAUAACGUAGGGAAACUUACGCUAAUACCGCAUACGACCUACGGGUGAAGGCAGGGGAUCUUCGGACCUUGCGCGAUUGAAUGAGCCGAUGUCGGAUUAGCUAGUUGGCGGGGUAAAGGCCCACCAAGGCGACGAUCCGUAGCUGGUCUGAGAGGAUGAUCAGCCACACUGGAACUGAGACACGGUCCAGACUCCUACGGGAGGCAGCAGUGGGGAAUAGUGGACAAUGGGCGCAAGCCUGAUCCAGCCAUACCGCGUGGGUGAAGAAGGCCCUCGGGUUGUAAAGCCCUUUUGUUGGGAAAGAACAGCAGCAGGUUAAUACCCCGCUGUUCUGACGGUACCCAAAGAAUAAGCACCGGCUAACUUCGUG